rnacentral:misc_RNA from 1 species
UAUUUAUUGUGAUUACUUCUUAUGAUGGCUUGGUGUCUAAAUGUCUUAUAUAGAGAUAUUGCAUGAUGGAUUUGUGCAUAGCUGAUGAUGGUUUGCCCCUUUUUUUCAUUUCUCUUGGUUAAAUCUGGAUUCUUUUUGUGCCCUUCCCAACCCCUAACCCUGCCAAUUUAUGGGCUUUGGAUAGUCCAAUUAGGCUGCUUCAAGGUACUUUGUAUGGUAUGGACAAUUCAUGCUACUGUUCACUCCUGUCAAAUAUGGAUAGCGUACGGCGAUCAGACAAGAAUUGAUGCAGCUUGUUGGACAGCAUUCUUUUCAGAUCUGAAGCGUAACCACAGAUCCUGUUGAUAUUCUUCUCUACAUGAGAAAGGUAUGCUUAUUAGUUAUAUGGCUUAUGUCUGUUUUCGGAAGAAACAUGAAGUAUUAUAAUGGUGAGUGAAAUUCUUUUCUACAUUUUGGUAAGUUGGCUAGAGUGGAGCUCCUAAUCACUUUGCCAUGAGCCCAGUUCCCUAUUUCAAUGUCUGGGAACAUGAGCUGUGGUCCAAUUAGUAAAAGGUCUAUUUGGCAUCAAUGUAUCAGUUGUCGAUAGAAACGCUAUCUUAUAUUUGUUGACUGAAAGUAAUUAAAAGUUGUAUAUACUCCAUUUUCGAAGUGUUAUUAUAUACAUGGAUAAAUCGGUUAA